GAAAAUCCAUGUGAAAACUUCCUUUGCUGCACAGAGGACCAUCGAGGAUUAUGAGAUGGAGGCACAGAGAUUUACCUAACAGUGUCAUAUUGAAGAUUAUGAAGUCAGGAGCAGAACUGACAGGAAACUCUAGGUCUCUUUAACUCCAUCCCAGGACAACAUGAAAGUUUACUUCUAGCUAUGAUACCAAAAUCAGUCUGCUGCCAGAACAUCAAGUGCUGUUUGAUCUACUAUGGCUUUAUUGGAUGAAGAUUAUACCGUAAGGGAAGUCCUCGGAUGCUGUUGAAUACAGUUCAAGGAAAAGUUCCCAGAAUUAUUGAUAUUCAGGCCAAUAAAUGUCUGGCAUUUACCACUUGAGAGGAUGGUCACUCUUCACCUUCCAGGAAACACUUGCCAGCUUUCCUGGGACACAAAGAGCAGAACUUGGGUGGAGAAGAAUAGGAAGGGACAGAUGGCUUGUGGAGAAGAAGGGGCUGGUGUGCUGAUCAACCUCUGCGUGUCCAGCGAACUCCGCGCCGCAGUGAGGAUUGAUUUCGGAUCAUGGUUCGGCAGU